GCAAGCUGCGAGGCCAUCACACCAUAAAAGGGCAAAAAACGCCGAAAGAGCCAUGAUUAAUGAGCGACGUUCACCUCUACCUGGGAUCUACCUGCAGGAGCUGCUCUCUUGGAGCUGUGGAGACCUGCUGAGAACAGAUAUCGGAGGACAUAAAGAAGAUUUGCGAGACCCAUAGGGAAGCAUGCGAGUUGACCACGAGACUCAAAGGCCGCCACCUCAAAGUGUGAAGGUUGACUUCUCAGUGGUAUGACAGGUCUCAGUGUGUCUUACAGGGUCACGACCCUCCCAGGCUGUGACCUGGACAAACAGGACCGAGGAGCUACAACAGGACAUGGAAUGUCCCUUUUGUUUUUGUUUUGUUUCGCAUUUUCUGUUGAGAAAGGUGGACAUUUCCUCACUUUGCACUUGCCAGAGUAAAAGAAAACUUUUUCUUGGCAACGACAGUUAAGAGUUUACGCAAGAUUUGUACUGUGGCUGUAACAGGAAUGAUCAAAGCUCAGGCAGCUCUGUGUUUAACCUGGAUGCAUUAUUCUUUCUUUUCCUUGUGGGAUUGUCAUCCUCCAAGCCACUGAAAAUAUGAUUUAUUUUAAGAGCGCCGCUUUUUCUUUGUGAACACAUUUUUGGUGUUAGCACAGCCACUUGUCUGAUAUUUCAGUAUGUCCCACAUUAUAUAUGUUUCAUGCGCCUGCUACCAUGUGGAACCAAUUGUUUCUUAAUAAAAAAGCCAAUGUGAAUGAUUAAGAAGGUGUCUGCGU